AACAGGAAGCAGCUUGCUGCUUCGCUGACGAGUGGCGGACGGGUGAGUAAUGUCUGGGAAACUGCCUGAUGGAGGGGGAUAACUACUGGAAACGGUGGCUAAUACCGCAUAACGUCGCAAGACCAAAGAGGGGGACCUUCGGGCCUCUUGCCAUCAGAUGUGCCCAGAUGGGAUUAGCUAGUUGGUGAGGUAACGGCUCACCAAGGCGACGAUCCCUAGCUGGUCUGAGAGGAUGACCAGCCACACUGGAACUGAGACACGGUCCAGACUCCUACGGGAGGCAGCAGUGGGGAAUAUUGCACAAUGGGCGCAAGCCUGAUGCAGCCAUGCCGCGUGUAUGAAGAAGGCCUU
rnacentral:rRNA from 1 species